GUGCACUUAUUUGAGAAAUUACCCAAACUACUGACCUCGGCUAAUUUAUUUUCAUAUUCUACUCAUGAUUUUUUUGUUUUUUUUCUAAAG